CCCUGGAUCCAGCUGCUCCAACUCGAUGAUGAGGACUAAACACAGACAGCUCACCAUGGAGCUGGCACUGAGCUGGGUUUUCCUUGUUGCUGUUUUAAAAGGUGUCCAGGCUGAGGUGCAGCUGGUGGAGUCCGGGGGAGGCUUGGUGCAGCCGGGGGGGUCCCUGAAACUCUCCUGUGUGACUUCAGGAUUCACCUUCAGUAACUACUGGAUGCACUGGGUCCGUCAGGCUCCAGGAAAAGGGAUGGAGUGGGUUGGGAGAAUUAAUGGGAAUAGUGGAACUAUAAACUACCCAGACUCUGUGAAGGGCCGAUUCACCAUCUCCAGAGACAACGCUAAGAACACGCUGUAUCUGCAAAUGAACAGCCUGAGAGCGGAGGACACGGCUGUGUAUUACUGUACAACACACAGUGAGAGGGCAUCCUUUCCAGUCCAAACACAAAACUCUCUGCAGGGGCGUUCAGGGCCAGCAGGGGCGCUAGAGAUGCGGAGAGAACCACGAGUAGAUUUAGAGGAAAGACCAGCAGGCCAUGCUCAGUUAAUCAGGGGACGCUCAGUCCCUCCAAAGGGAGCUGAGGACCACAGCAGAGCACUCAGCAUGAUCAGGAUGCCCAGGAGCCGGACCUUCCAGGGGCUCAAAACAGGAGAGGGGGCACUGGGGCCCCGGGGAGACUUCACCUGUGUUCUCCUUGCUGUUCAUCUCUG